AACGAACGCUGGCGGCAUGCCUAACACAUGCAAGUCGAACGAGAUCUUCGGGUCUAGUGGCGCACGGGUGCGUAACGCGUGGGAAUCUGCCCUUUGGUUCGGAAUAACAGUUGGAAACGACUGCUAAUACCGGAUGAUGACGAAAGUCCAAAGAUUUAUCGCCAGAGGAUGAGCCCGCGUAGGAUUAGCUAGUUGGUGUGGUAAAGGCGCACCAAGGCGACGAUCCUUAGCUGGUCUGAGAGGAUGAUCAGCCACACUGGGACUGAGACACGGCCCAGACUCCUACGGGAGGCAGCAGUGGGGAAUAUUGGACAAUGGGUGAAAGCCUGAUCCAGCAAUGCCGCGUGAGUGAUGAAGGCCUUAGGGUUGUAAAGCUCUUUUACCCGGGACGAUGAUGACAGUACCGGGAGAAUAAGCUCCGGCUAACUCCGUGCCAGCCGCCGCGGUAA
rnacentral:rRNA from 1 species